CUUAUCCGACCUUCUCUCCUUCUCUUCCUCUCAUUCCUUAUCCGCCUCUCACUCAUAAGUCCAUGACUCACACCCUCUUCUUCUCUUUUGGACUGAAACCCUAAGAAGAAAAAUAGAACCCUAACUUCAUCAGCUAAAAGACGAAGAAGAAAAAAUAGGUUUACAAAAGCAUGGAAGUUACGGUCGAUUAUGAAGGUUGUGGUAGUGAUGGGUUCUUGUACAGAAAAAGCCCUAAUAUUUGUGAUUUGUGAAUCCCUCGUUUCUCAUUACCUCUGAGGUUUAUAACAUGGGUCAUGUUUGGUUGUCUUGGUUUCAUUUCGUGUUGUUUAUUUGAGAUUUUACUUUAAUCACCUGAUCUAAUUGAAUUGGGGGUGUUUUUUUUUUUAAGCGUUUGGGUAAUGAUAGUCUUCUAAUGGGGUGUGGUUUUUAAGUUUGUUGUGAAUGUUAUAUGUGGAUCUGAAGAAGAGGGCUACAGAAUCUCUGGAGGAAUAGAGGCUAUGAACUAUUUGUUUAGUUUAGUUUAGUUUGUUUGCAAUGAUCUACUGCAAGUGUACCAUCGUUGAAAGUCUUGGUUGGGAUGAAAUGCCGGUUACAACAGCUGCAGAUGAUGUUUGCUUAAACAACACUAGAAGUGAUUGCUUAGGUAUUGUACGGCGCUGAUAUAGAAACUGGAGUAUUUGGCAGUGGGGUUUUAGAGUGCGGCAAGUUGGAGGUGUAACAAAUUAUUUAGUAUUAAAUGUGCAGGGCAUCACUCAAUUGCUCUUACCAGGAAUCCAUAGACAGGUUUUGGUAAAAAGUUUAUGUUAGCGACUUGGUUAGGGUGAAAGUUCACAUUCUUGUGUCUGUGUUUGUUGUCCAAUAGUUAAGUGUUUAACUCAAACUGUUGUCGUAUACAUAUCUGACUGUGGCAAGCUGCCUUGUCUGAGCUUCUGUAAGGAUGUCCCAUUCUGGAUUAAUCUUUUGAUAAUUUCAGCAUAUCAUUCUUAUGUAGUCCCCAAGGAAUACGAAAACCAUGUUUUGAAUGUUUAUCUUUCUGUCAUUUGGUUACAGGAUUGGUGGUUGACUACCAUUAUCUAUUCCACACCUUUAAUGUGUUUCUUUGUCAUUCAUGCACCUUUAUGUUUCUUUACUCUUGUAUGUCAGGCUAGUAUUAUUUAGUUAGCAUUCAGUGUUACAUAUAAAUUUAGCAUCUACUGUAGUUGUAUAUGCCAAUAUCUUAACAAUUUCUUAGUACCCAUACUUUGGGGAGUUGACAAGCGCUCUCUAAAGGAGAAUAAGCGAACUCCCAAUUAAGACGCCUGUUUAGUAAAUGGUUGGUCUCUUCCCAUGUUCCGUGAACACCUUUCAAGUUUCUAUAGACUUAUAGUUGUGUUUACAUGAACAAUUUAUUACAAGCAUGGACUAUUUGAAUUGGGUGUAUGUAAAUUUGAUAUAACUGGUUGUAUUAACUUCUACUUGUAGAGUCCAAGUGUUGAAACAGUCACAAGAGAGUUCGCUUCACAGACGAAGCGGUUAUUGACUGUGGGAGAUCACAUAAAUAUACAACCCACACAUGCAUAUGAGGCAAGAUUGUGUGUAUCUGGCAGGGAAUCCCGGUUUAGUUGUGUUCAUGAAGGCGAGGUGAUGCAACUAGAUUGCUCGUCUGGUGGUGUGAAGAACUUGCACUGAUACCAUUUUGGAACUUUGCUAUUCGGUAAAUUUCUACUCUUGGCAAGUUCAUUAUGUGUUUUUGUAGUUACUUAGUUUCCCAUGGGUAGGUUGUGUGCACGUAGAAUGUGCCUUCACAUGGCAAAGGCCCGGAGGAUGGGUUGCAAUUGUGUUUCAGGUUCAUGAUGAUUGUAGAAUCUGCGUAGUUUGCAGAUUGAAAAAGAAAAUGCUAUUGUAUUUCAGGCCUGUAAACUGAGAGUGCAGGUCCAUCAUCGUGACCUGUAUUGCAGGCCUGUAAACUGGAUGCCCGGGUCCAUGAAAAUGGUCUGGGUUACCCAAUUUUUUUUAUUUGUAAGUUAAAGAAUUGUCACCGGUUUAACAGUAACGACAGAUGUAAUUAAAUGAAAACGUUUAAGAAUAACGCGCGUCAACAAAUAUUUGUUGAAAAUCAAUAGGUACACUUGUAAGUGUUACUAUAUUCGUAACAAAACGCGUCACGUGUCAUUCGUUAAUUUGUGGUAAAUAGUAACAUAUAAAGCCAUUACGAUAAAUAUGACACGUGUCGCAAUCGUAAAAUUAGGUCAAUUGUGACUAUUAACUAUGUAACGCUUUUAUGUGACUGUAUCUGGCCUUUGUUACAGAUAAAACUCUUAUGAAACACCAUCACAAUUAUUAAUAACGGCCUUUUUAUAACUAUAACCGUUACAAAUUCAAUAAGUAACAGGUAUAUCCUGUGGCAAAAUCCUGAAAAUGGUGCAGUGGUGGUAUGGUAGAUUAUUUUUAAUUAGUCGAUAAAUAAAACACUCUUUGUUUUAUAUACAACUAAGAAAUUGUUGUAUAUAAAACAAUGCAAUUGUAUAAUACAAGUGGAACAAUACACUUUAAUUAGGGAUAUGGAUCAACCAUCCUGAGAUCUCCCAUAUGUAAGCAGGUGUUACUGCUAUUGAUAUUGGUUGUUAUAAAUUCUAUCAUUUUAGGUUCAUCACUAUGGCUUGUAUAAAAAUCGUUUACCAACAUUAUAGUCAGUCGUGUUUUUUUAA